UGUAGGGAGAGCAAAAGUCACCUGGGAUUAUUCCAUUGGCUGUGAAGGAUGUCUUUAGCAUCAUACAAGAGACACCUGGGCGGGAAUUUCUUCUUCGUGUUUCAUAUCUGGAAAUAUAUAAUGAGGUUAUUAAUGACUUGCUUGAUCCAACAGGGCAGAACCUAAGAAUACGAGAAGAUGCUCAGGUAA